GUUAGAGAUCAGUGGUUACGGGUGGUUACGGUGUUGAUGAGGGGAAUUGUUGAGAUAUUUGCGUGGUGAAAUAACAUUUGAACAGUGGUUUGAUGGGUUUGGCACAAGGAAUUACUGGAAGAUGUGGAUAAGUUAGAAGAUGAGACAACAUGCAUUGAUGAGGCCACAACUAGUGGUUAACAAGAGCAACAAGAUGUCCCCAGCAGUGGUGACAGUGAUGAGGAGGAUGACAGAGUAACAUUGUCAUCUUAUGCAGUUGUUGAUGAAGCAAUGACAUCAACAGGAAUUGUUGGGGAGGAUUCAUUUACUUUAGGAGCACCAGUUCCUAUUAAUAGCUGCCCAUCUACACCCGAUAGGACAUAUAUGAGUGGAUGAAACUGGCAGAGAUGUGUCUAGAACAGAACGAUACAAGACAGGCUAUUAACUGCUAAACUAAAG